GCCCGAGUAGCUCAAUUGGUUAGAGCGUCGGACUUUUACAAGCUUCUAGCCUGUGAAGUAUCCGAAAUCCGAAGGCUGCGGGUUCGACCCCCGCCUGGGGCG